rnacentral:rRNA from 1 species
GGAGCGAAAGCGUGGGGAGCGAACAGGAUUAGAUACCCUGGUAGUCCACGCCGUAAACGAUGAGUGCUAAGUGUUAGGGGGUUUCCGCCCCUUAGUGCUGCAGCUAACGCAUUAAGCACUCCGCCUGGGGAGUACGGUCGCAAGACUGAAACUCAAAGGAAUUGACGGGGGCCCGCACAAGCGGUGGAGCAUGUGGUUUAAUUCGAAGCAACGCGAAGAACCUUACCAGGUCUUGACAUCCUCUGACAAUCCUAGAGAUAGGACGUCCCCUUCGGGGGCAGAGUGACAGGUGGUGCAUGGUUGUCGUCAGCUCGUGUCGUGAGAUGUUGGGUUAAGUCCCGCAACGAGCGCAACCCUUGAUCUUAGUUGCCAGCAUUCAGUUGGGCACUCUAAGGUGACUGCCGGUGACAAACCGGAGGAAGGUGGGGAUGACGUCAAAUCAUCAUGCCCCUUAUGACCUGGGCUACACACGUGCUACAAUGGACAGAACAAAGGGCAGCGAAACCGCGAGGUUAAGCCAAUCCCACAAAUCUGUUCUCAGUUCGGAUCGCAGUCUGCAACUCGACUGCGUGAAGCUGGAAUCGCUAGUAAUCGCGGAUCAG